rnacentral:rRNA from 1 species
UGAUCCAGAGUACCACGGGACACGUGAAACCCUGUGGGAAGCAGGAGGGACCACCCUCCAAGGCUAAAUACUACCUAGUGACCGAUAGCGUAUAGUACCGUGAGGGAAAGGUGAAAAGAACCCCGGGAGGGGAGUGAAAUAGAACCUGAAACCCUGCACUUACAAGCUGUGGAAGCACAUUUCUUGUGUGACCGCGUACUUUUUGUAGAACGGGCCAACGAGUUACGUUAAGUAGCAAGGUUAAGCACUUAAGGUGCGGAGCCGUAGCGAAAGCGAGUUUUAACUGAGCGUUCAGUUACUUGACGUAGACCCGAAACCGGGCGACCUACCCAUGAGCAGGAUGAAGCGAAAGUAAAAUUUCGUGGAGGUCCGAACCCACGAGCGUUGAAAAGCUCGGGGAUGACUUGUGGGUAGCGGUGAAAUUCCAAUCGAGCCCGGAGAUAGCUGGUUCUCCCCGAAAUAGCUUUAGGGCUAGCCUCAAGGUGAGAGAUACGGAGGUAGAGCACUGAAUGUCCUAGGGGGUAUUGCACCUACCGAAGACUAUCAAACUCCGAAUGCCGUCAUCUUAUACUUGGGAGUCAGACUGUGGGUGAUAAGAUUCAUAGUCGAAAGGGCAACAGCCCAGAUCGUCAGCUAAGGUCCCUAAAUGUAAGUUAAGUGGUAAAGGAUGUGGGAUUGCACAGACAACCAGGAUGUUGGCUUAGAAGCAGCCACUCAUUCAAAGAGUGCGUAAUAGCUCACUGGUCGAGUGAUCCUGCGCCGAAGAUUUCCGGGGCUAAAACUUACUACCGAAGCUACGGCAUCAGUAAUGAUGGGUAGGGGAGCUUCCCAUACGGGUUGAAGCAUGACCGUAAGGACAUGUGGACAGUAUGGGAGUGAGAAUGUUGGCAUGAGUAGCGAGAUGUGGGUGAGAAUCCCACAGGCCGUAAACCCAAGGUUUCCAGGGGAAGGUUCGUCCGCCCUGGG